CGCUAAGACGGGAACUGGGGCCCCGGAGUCCUGGUCCUUUCCUCGCCCCCUAUGAGAGUUUCCACUGGUGACAGCAUUUACUGUAAGUUCAGUGCUCUGAAGAGCCUGGGCAAACCCCAAGGCAGCAAGUAGGGACGGACAGGGUGGGCGGGCUCUGCGCUUCUCCCCGCCUAGGGGCAGGCCCAGCUUUCGGGAAGUGACUAGCAAGCUCGGAGGAGCGAGCUCCAGCUUUCUCCUCUUGCCAUCUCCUGGGCCUGCAGAUUCCAGAGCCCAAGCUGGCGCAGGCCUGACCAAUAAGCACGGCCUCCUGCCUCUAACUGUGGGGCAAAGUUUGUCUUGACCUCACAAAGCCAAACUGCUUCUUGCGAGAGAAAUGUCUGUAAACUCAGGCCCUUGCCCACACCGGCCACUCCCUAGAGAAAGGUUCUGGCUUGACUUCCCUUGCAGGAGGAAGUGGCUGAUGUGGGCCUCAUCUCUCUACCCUGCCCGGGGCAGCGGGGGCCCCCUGAGAGGACUUAUAGCUAAAGGGACAGUUGGGGGCAGCUGUUUAUCCACAGGGACAACAACCGUACCCAUUAGCUUCCCAGUGUGGGCAGGGACCAGAACUCAGUGAGGGCAUGGAGUGAGUGGGUGGGUGUAUGAAGGAAAUUUCCUCUACCAGGCAGGCCUCUCUGGCCACAGUGGAGAGAGCUAACCUGCCUCCUGACUUUCACAUAGUUAGCCUGAUCUUUGCUUUUCAGAACGUGGUUAGGCCCAUCCGGGUUCUCACGAAGUCAGCUGUCAGUGUUGACCAUCCUACCAGGAGGCCAACUGAGCCCCCCGGGGCAAAACCAUACUGCCUAGUUUCCUAAAAUGCCCACAGGCUGGUGAGGAGAAAGUGCCUCAGAGUCCCUGCACACAUGUGUCUUCUCAGAAGUGUGGAAGCCUCUAAAGGUGGGCCCAGAGCCAGGAAGGAGAUCUGCAGGCAGGUCUCCAGCUGGACUCCUCCUUCCUGCCUCUCCUGCAUUGAGGACCUGACUGCUGGGGUGAGCCAGGGGCUCCCAGGAGCAAGGAGAAGACCCCAGCCCCCUGUGCCCUCCCAAGGGACAGCAGUUAUAAUGAUCAUUACACGCAGAGACUAUGACCCCACAUAACACCACAUAACACCACAUGCCGAGCUGGCCACACCCCUGAAGCCACAGAAUUGCCCACUUCCAUCCUGCCACCCUGGAAAGGCUCUCCACGGAGGCCAGACCAUCCUCCACCAUGAGCCAGGGCCUGGCUCCGUGGCAGCGGGUGGCUGGCCCUUUGGGGAUUCGCUUUCCCUGUUGAAUACCAGUUCUUUCACUUGAAGACAAGAUGAUCCCCGACCUUAGCCAGGGCAGAGCCACUGGGCAAGGACAAAUCCACUGUCCUUCAACACAGAGUGAAAGCCUGGAGGAUCAGCAGCCAUGUGGCCGCCUCGAGAAGAAGCUGCUCCGAUACUGGUUGCACAGACAGGAGAGCUUUGUUUUUCUGCCUCUAACCUGCUCUUUCCAUUCUGAGCUUCUUGCUACGUGAGAAAAAGAAACCACCGCUAGCUGCUGCCUCCCCCUUGAUGGCCUAUCUACUACGUGUCGCUGUCUGGACUCCUGGGAAGCCCAAUUGGGAAAACAGAGAGCAGAGGCUUACGAGACCAACAGUGGAAAGCAAGACCUGCUGGUGGGUGCUGAGACUCGGGUCUCCCUUUGCUGGAGCUCCCAGCUAAUCGACGAACAAGAGGCAUGUUCAUGUGCCAGCUGAGUCGUUCCAGAUCUUUGAAUUCUUUAUGCUAAUAAACCUUAGGGCACAGUCUCCCAGAGUCAGACAAAGAACCGUGGAAAUGGUAGAGGACCCUACAAAGGCACCCCAGCAGGCCAAGGGCACCGUCUUUGGGAACGUCUCAAUUAUCUAAUUUUCCUCUAACUUCUCCUCAUUUUUCAUGGUAUUA